AUAGGCGUGGUCAAUAGAUCGAUGAAAAUUGCAUAAAAUUUUCGAUAAUGAUUCAAAUCGAUUCCGUAAAGUAUCGUUUAUAUCGAUAAAGAAUCGGUAUAUGUGACUAUGAGACUCAUCCUCGUGGAUUGGUCCUGUCGAGGUUCCUGCUGAAGGGCACUUGGCCCUUGGGGCAGAAAUACUUUUAGAAUGACAAAGGCUUUAUAGACGAUGGAGUUACUAAUGACAGCAAAAUAACGGACGAGUGUUAAAUUGUCAUCCUUAGUUUUGAUUUGAUUUGUAACUUUGCCACUUACAUAUAUAGCUGAUCUAACUCUAGGUACAUGUAUUUCUAGCACUACAUUUGUGUGGAGAUUCGCUUAAUGUUUGAUUUCAUUUUUUGUGAUACAGUACUUAUCAGUUUCCAAUUUAAGAAGUUGAUCCAUCUGCUAGUAGUGUAACUACUGUGUAAUCCUAACAUUCAGAUCAGGGCCAGUACUAUGGUAGGAUCAAGAUUCUCACAAGACUAUGACUUCUCUUUUUCAUGAACAAGACACACUCUAAUCUGAGCAUGUACAAUUGCAAAAAUCAAUAAUAAUGAAUAAUUAAUUCACAACAGGAAUAUACAAGAUAGAAUAGUCUUUGUGGUCACCGACAAUGCUGCUAAUAUGGUGGCUGCUGUUUCAUUAACUUGUUGGAGUCAUCUACCAUGCUUUGCACAUUUUCUAAAUGUUGUAAUUUGAACUCAAUUGAGGGUGGUCCUGAGCUUUCUGCUGUACAAACAAAGUGUAAAAAUAUUGCAAACUUUCAUCAAAGUGUUAAAUUAACAGAGAAGCUAGUAGAGAUCCAAUGCUAACUUUCACUCCCAGAGCACAAGUUGUCAAAAGAUGUUUCCACUUGUUGGAAUUCUAAUUACAUCAUGCUUGAACACUUUUACAAGCAAUUUGAAUUUAUAACAACUACUCUCUGUUUGGUGAAUCAAAGUGAUCUUUGUUUGAAAGCUAAGGAGAAGGAUACAAUUUCUAAAGCACUACAACUAUUGAAGCCCUUUUUAGAAGCCACAGAGAACAUAUCAGGGCAAUAUUUUCAAUGAUAGUUCCUUUAACAAGAAUUCUUCAACAGCACUGUAGUUUACUUAUAGAGCCAAUCCUUCCUCAGUACUUGCUGGAUCCCUCAACUCAGAAUUGAAUGACAGGUUUACAGCUAUCGAGACCCACUAUGUCAUGGCAGUCAGUACUCUUCUCCAUCCUUGUUUUAAAAAUUUUCCUUUGUUGAUAAAACAAAGUUACAAACAGUUGUUCCCAAACUAUCAAUCUGCUCAAGUGAUCAGGAUUCUAGGUCACCUGACAUGGAAGAGGUCUCAACUGAAAGUAUUUGGAACUCAUUUGACCUGAAGGCUAAGGAGUCACAAGUUCAUCAAACUUCUAAUGUUGAGGCAACUAUAGAAGUCAGGUGAUAUUUCGAGGAAGCUGUCAUUUGUAGAAAUAAAGAUCCUCUUGAAUGGUGGAAAGAGAACACGUGCCGUUUCCCAUUCUUAAAAGUACUUGUAAGACCUUUUUUAUGUAUUUCAGUUUCAUCUGUUCCUUCUGAAAGACUUUUUUCUUAGGCAGGAGUCCUAGUUUCUGAAAAAAGAAAUUGUAUCUCACCAAAGAAUAUGUACCUUAUUUUUUUCUCAACCAGAAGUUAUAAUGUGUUAAGUGUUAACAGUGUUAUAUUAUACUUAAUCAUUAAUCUGAUAUUGUGUGACAUAUAUUGUUGCUAUUCAAGAGUACUAAAGACAACACAUGGUUCUGUGGAUGUGCAGAUGUAAGUAUUUGGAAUCGAUUGCUACUUUCUCAAUUUGCCUGUUACUAAUAUUUAGUGACAUUAUAAUUUAAAUUUGUAAUCCAAAUUAACUUACCGCCCACCUGCAUCCUUACCGCAUGUGUGAAGAGGAACUACGGAUUUAACUA